rnacentral:rRNA from 1 species
CCUACGGGAGGCUGCAGUGAGGAAUAUUGGUCAAUGGACGAGAGUCUGAACCAGCCAAGUAGCGUGAAGGAUGACUGCCCUAUGGGUUGUAAACUUCUUUUAUAUGGGAAUAAAAUGUCGCAUGUGUGGGAUUUUGUAUGUACCUUAUGAAUAAGGAUCGGCUAACUCCGUGCCAGCAGCCGCGGUAAUACGGAGGAUCCGAGCGUUAUCCGGAUUUAUUGGGUUUAAAGGGAGCGUAGGUGGAUUGUUAAGUCAGUUGUGAAAGUUUGCGGCUCAACCGUAAAAUUGCAGUUGAUACUGGCAGUCUUGAGUACAGUAGAGGUGGGCGGAAUUCGUGGUGUAGCGGUGAAAUGCUUAGAUAUCACGAAGAACUCCGAUUGCGAAGGCAGUUCACUGGACUGCAACUGACACUGAUGCUCGAAAGUGUGGGUAUCAAACAGGAUUAGAUACCCGUGUAGUC